rnacentral:tRNA from 1 species
GUGAGCGUAGCUCAAUUGGUUAGAGCUCUGGACUGUGGAUCCAGUGGUCGGGGGUUCAAAUCCCCUCGCUCACCCCA